AUUGAACGCUGGCGGCAUGCCUUACACAUGCAAGUCGAACGGCAGCACGGGUGCUUGCACCUGGUGGCGAGUGGCGAACGGGUGAGUAAUAUAUCGGAACGUACCUUAUUGUGGGGGAUAACGCAGCGAAAGCUGUGCUAAUACCGCAUAAUCCCUAAGGGGGAAAGCGGGGGACCGUAAGGCCUCGCGCAAUUAGAGCGGCCGAUACCUGAUUAGCUAGUUGGUGAGGUAAAGGCUCACCAAGCCGACGAUCUAUAGCUGGUCUGAGAGGAUGAUCAGCCACACUGGGACUGAGACACGGCCCAGACUCCUACGGGAGGCAGCAGUGGGGAAUUUUGGACAAUGGGCGCAAGCCUGAUCCAGCCAUUCCGCGUGCAGGAUGAAGGCCCUCGGGUUGUAAACUGCUUUUGUACAGAACGAAAAGCUCUGGGUUAAUACCCUGGGGUCAUGACGGUACUGUAAGAAUAAGCACCGGCUAACUACGUGCCAGCCGCCGCAGUAA
rnacentral:rRNA from 1 species